AUCUUCGUCAUCGUUCGGACGGAGGUAGGAUCCACCGCCCGUGCACCCUUGUCGCCCAGGAGGUGGAAAGCCACUUCAAAUCUGGCGUGAUGGUGGCCCACGCUCUGGGGUCUGGGCAGCUUGUUUUCCACUGUGCCCUACCAUGAGUGCUACGACAGAUCAUCGAACUUUGGCGACAUCGCCAUUUUGCAGCGAUUUGCUUUUAGGAUUAUACAAAUUUGCCUAGGAACUGCUUUUCAGAGCUCGGUCAAAAAGGCAAAAGGAUAUUGCAUUUACGUCACGAAGCAAGCAUUGUAGGAAGCGUCGGGUAUGUGAACUAGCUCUUUCUCAUAUACACUGUUUUGUUUGGAUGAAAUCAUGUAGUUAGAUAUAUAUACUAAAUAAUACUCCAUCCGUUUACAAAUACUUUACAACUUUGACUUUUACUAUUCACACUUAGACUAACUCUAGUUUUUCAAAUAUUUAGUUGAUUGAUAUAGCAAUAUCACUUGAUAUGCUAUUAAAAGUACUUUCAUAACAUCAUACACUUGUAAAUGUUUGCUCAUGUAUUUGUGAAAAAAAUCGAUAGUCAAACUUUAAAUAGUAAAGUCAAAGUUGUUAAAUAUUUAUAAAUGGAAGGAGUAUUAUGUAUACACUCAUGUGUAUUGUUAAUGUCAGAGAGGCACCUUUAUUUAUAUAUGCAAAAGGCAAUUUUUAUAAAAUAUUAAAAUAUUGAGGUAUUUUGGUCAAAGUUAAUAUGCAAUUUUACUUAUUCUUUUAUGCAGUUUUUUUAGUUCUCCAAAAGUAGUGCACUUGAACUCUGUUAACAUUAUAUUUCUAUUUAGUUUCUGUGAUUUGUAUGACAUGGUAAUUUUUGUGAGCAAUUAUAAGUGCAUGUUGUUUUUUUGUUGUCAUUACGAAAUUAAAUUGUAUAAUUUUAUUAUCUGUUCCUUAGUUUCUUACUACCACAUCUUUUCCAUGGCACUGGAGGAUUUAUUGUUUCAUCUUGGCAUGCAAUUUUUCAACUGAUUAGAAGCAUUUUAAAUGAAUUAAAAGCAUUUUUUGACAUGCAGCAGGUUUUUUUUUCUUACUGCCACAUUUUUGUUCAAGGCACUGGAGCAGAUUUGUUGUUUUUUGUUGUCAUUACGAAAUUAAAUUGUAUAAUUUUGUUAUAUGUUCCUUAGUUUCUUACCACCACAUUUUUUUCAUGGUACUAGAGUGGAUUUAUUGUUUCACAUUGGCAUGUGAUUUUUCAACUGAUUAGAAGCAUUUUAAACGAAUUAAAAGCAUUUUUCAACAUGCAGCAGGUUUUUUUCUUAUUGCCAUAUUUUUGUUCAAGGUACUGUAGCAGAUUUGUUGUUGUAUGUUGGUAUGCAAUUUUUCAACUGAUUAGAAGCAUUUUAAACGAAUUAGAAGCAUUUGUCGACAUGUAGUUGGUUCGUUUGGUGAUGUUCAGUGUUUGUGUUUUUCUAACGCUAGAAUUUACUGUUUUUCUGGAGACAAGAUCGAUUGAUCUCAUACACCACACAAGAUCGCUAAAUGAUGCCCCCUAGGAGUUAGGUCCAAAAGCAGUAUGCGUAUUUUAAAAAGCAAAUUUUUAUUUCAUCAGAUGCUAUUUUAAAUACUUAAUUGAGUGACCAAAUACAUAUAUGCUUUUUUGUCAAGGUUGCAACUCUCCAUGACAAUAUGUCCUGUUAGAAGCAAGAUAACAAUAUAGUUAUUUUUCGUGUUUUCUCUCUCCACAAGCAAUACUGUAUCUUUUCAUAAGCAUUUUUUGCCUCAUCACAAGUAAUUCUUUUAUGUUGAGUCUGUAAACAUUGUGUAGGAAUAUAGAUUUUUUUUUUCUUUUGAGCAAGCCAAUUGUUUCUUGCAUAAUGUAAACCUGCUCUUGUCUGAGCAGGGUAAGCAUGAUGAUUUCUUUUGAUCCAGGUUUAUUGUAAGUACACGUUUUAUUUUUUUUCUGAGUUCCGAUAAUUUGAUGGUU